rnacentral:lncRNA from 1 species
AAUUAACGAAGAGGUAAUAACAAUUAAUACCUUUAGAUGAUAAUGGCUAAGCAAAUUUAAAGUCAAAUAGGAUUGGAAAAACAAAAUUUGAAGAAACAAUUGUUUCAGGAAAAUAACUUUGUAAAUGAAAUAAAACAAAACAAUCAAUAUAUUUUUUUAAUGAAAACAAAGAGUUGUAGAAUAUUUAUAUAUGGAACGAAA